CCCUCAUAUUUCAUUACAGGCAAUUGUGGGCUACUUUGACAUUUUCUUUGACAAAGGCUGCAGCAACAAGGUGAUGUUCUCCACGGGUCCUCAGGCAACAAAGACACACUGGAAACAGACAAUCUUCCUACUGGAGAAGCCUUUCUCUGUUCAAGCAGGAGAGGAACUCCAGGGAAAGAUCACUGUGCGUAAAAACAAGAAGGACCCGCGCUCGCUGUUCGUAACAUUUGACCUCCGAGACAGGAAGCUGAUUUAUAGCCUGCAAUAAUGUCAGCUAUUGCAUGAUACAACAUACAGUAAAUAUAACCCACAUUUUUAACUGAACAUUCAUGUAUUCAGAAUUGAUCUUGUGUCUUGUAAUAAAAAAAAAACAGCUGACAUAUGA